CCAGAUACCCAACGGCGGAAUCUCAUUUCUACCGCUUAUAGCCACGAUCUUAUUCUUUCAGUCAUUACCCAAGGCUCAUGACCACAGAUGAGAAUAGGAGCGUGAAUCGACUGGUAAAUUAAGAGCCUCCCCUUCCGGCUCAGCUCCUUCUUUACCAAGAUGGACCGGUACACCCUCCGUAAA